UACGUAGGGCGCAAGCGUUGUCCGGAAUUAUUGGGCGUAAAGAGCUCGUAGGCGGCUUGUCACGUCGGGUGUGAAAGCCCGGGGCUUAACCCCGGGUCUGCGUUCGAUACGGGCAGGCUAGAGUGUGGUAGGGGAGAUCGGAAUUCCUGGUGUAGCGGUGAAAUGCGCAGAUAUCAGGAGGAACACCGGUGGCGAAGGCGGAUCUCUGGGCCAUUACUGACGCUGAGGAGCGAAAGCGUGGGGAGCGAACAGG
rnacentral:rRNA from 1 species